UACAGAGGGGGCAAGCGUUGUUCGGAAUUACUGGGCGUAAAGGGCGCGUAGGCGGCCCGCUAAGUCGAACGUGAAAUCCCCGGGCUCAACCCGGGAACUGCGUCCGAUACUGGUGGGCUUGAAUCCGGGAGAGGGAUGCGGAAUUCCAGGUGUAGCGGUGAAAUGCGUAGAUAUCUGGAGGAACACCGGUGGCGAAGGCGGCAUCCUGGACCGGUAUUGACGCUGAGGCGCGAAAGCCAGGGGAGCAAAGCGGG
rnacentral:rRNA from 1 species